rnacentral:rRNA from 1 species
CCUACGGGAGGCAGUGGGGAAUAUUGGACAAUGGGCGAAAGCCUGAUCCAGCCAUGCCGCGUGUGUGAAGAAGGCCUUCGGGUUGUAAAGCACUUUCAGUGGGGAAGAAAGCCUUGGGGCUAAUACCCUCGAGGAAGGACAUCACCCACAGAAGAAGCACCGGCUAACUCCGUGCCAGCAGCCGCGGUAAUACGGAGGGUGCGAGCGUUAAUCGGAAUUACUGGGCGUAAAGCGCGCGUAGGCGGUCUGAUAAGCCGGUUGUGAAAGCCCCGGGCUCAACCUGGGAACGGCAUCCGGAACUGUCAGGCUAGAGUGCAGGAGAGGAAGGUAGAAUUCCCGGUGUAGCGGUGAAAUGCGUAGAGAUCGGGAGGAAUACCAGUGGCGAAGGCGGCCUUCUGGACUGACACUGACGCUGAGGUGCGAAAGCGUGGGUAGCAAACAGGAUUAGAUACCCUUGUAGUC